rnacentral:snRNA from 1 species
GGAUGUGAGGGUUGUUUAGAUGUGACAUCUGUCAGCCCAAUGAUCUCCAGGAUUGAUUUGGCUGAUCUAGCUGCCUAAAAGGGUGUCCCUUUCUCCCUCCAUGGGUAUUCCUUCUGAAACUUUAAAGAGGACAACUUGCCCUCCAAUAGAGACAGACUGGUCUUCAGUCAAGGCUGUAUGAGGG